AAAAAGAGAAAAGAAAAGAAAAAGAAAAAGAAAAAGAAAAAAAAAGAACAGACAAAAAAACAAGAAGAAAAAGGGAACAAGUUAUGCAGCUGGUAUGACGUUUCAACAACAAUCUCCUUUUUUUUCUUUUGUUGUUUGUUGUUGUUUGUUUGUUUUUGGUUUAAUGCCCAAACCCAAUCAUUUCACUUUGAUUAGAAUACUAAUACCUGCAAUAGUAAUGCUUGUGAGCAGUGGCAUGUGGGUUAUGUUGGUACAAUUGAAACAUGUUCACAUUGUAAUAAAUGAUGAAUUUAUGCAUAACAAAGCAUUAGAUGUAAUAGUUGUAAACUCGUUGCUAACAUCAUUAGGAGCUUAUUAGUGUGGGACAUUCAUGAUUGAGAUGCAUUUCACCAAGAUAUGUGCAAAGAGACUUGCAAUUGAGUUAUGUCUCAUUUCAAACAUUCUUUUGCACAAACUUGUAUGUUUGUUUGUGAUGUUGUGACAACUUUUCUUGCAUUUUUGAGUGUCAAUGAAUUGUGGGCCAACUCAUUUCCAUAUUUAGGAGCAUAGAAAUAAAAAUGAAUUGAAACAUUGCUGAAGACUUGAAUUACAAUGGUCAACUGAUUCAGUAAUUUUUUCUAUUCACUUUGAUUUUGUUUAUGUUUGUCAACAUUUUUUUUAUUCAGGUGGUAGUUAUUUACAUUGAAAGUACUCUUUUUGCUUAAAAGGUUGUGCAAGAAUGUUUGCAGGAAAUUUGAAAUUAAAAAGAAUGAUUCAGAUCUUUUACAGUUAUUAAAGAGCAUUCAUAUCUAUUUAGAAAUAUUUAGAAAUUUUCUUUUAGCAAGGAUUGAAGAAUUUGAGUACUUGAUGAGCUUUUGGAGCAUAAAAGUGUAAAAUUGGAUGUUUGAAAAAACUUUGUAAUUAAGUUGUGCACACAUUUUUAAAUUCUUUACAGUGAAAAAAAAAAAAAAAAAAAAAAAAAAAACACUAUAUGGUUUAUUUGAAUUCAAGAAGCAUAUAAGGUGGUUUGAACUACAUUCAAUCAUCAUCUAAACAUCAGAAAAAAGAAUGAAGAUAAAUUUACUACUAUAUAUUUUAAUAGAAUGAGUACACAGAAAAAAAGAAAAAAGAAAAAUAUUUUUGAAAGGUAUCAAUAACAAUAAAGCAGCUUUGUAAGAGAAAAUUUGCUAGGUAAACAAAAUAUAAAUGUUUUUAGAAAUAAUUUGUUAUUUUUUAGUAGUAAAAAAUAUACCUAUGAAUUAAGUAAUGUAGGUUAAAGAAUACUUUUGAAAGCAAUGGAAAUAUACAAUUUUUAGAAAACUAAUUACAUAGUUUAAAUAGAUUUUGUUUUUUAGCUGAUUAUUUGUUGUUACAAAAUUUUAAAUGACACAUUUUAUUUAUUUAUUUAUUUUUCAAUCAAUGAUGAUUUAACAUUAAUAUUUCACAAUUAUAAUUUAUACAUUAGGUUUUUUCUUAUCAUUCAU
rnacentral:lncRNA from 1 species